UACGGAGGGGGCUAGCGUUGUUCGGAAUUACUGGGCGUAAAGAGCUCGUAGGUGGUUUGUCGCGUUGUCCGUGAAAACUCACAACUCAAUUGUGGGCGUGCGGGCGAUACGGGCAGACUGGAGUACUGCAGGGGAGACUGGAAUUCCUGGUGUAGCGGUGGAAUGCGCAGAUAUCAGGAGGAACACCGGUGGCGAAGGCGGGUCUCUGGGCAGUAACUGACGCUGAGGAGCGAAAGCGUGGGGAGCGAACAGG
rnacentral:rRNA from 1 species